GGGGGGCAUGACCUUUACACAUGCAAGUCGAACGGCAGCGGGGACUUCGGUCCGCCGGCGAGUGGCGAACGGGUGAGUAAAGUAUCGGAACGUACCUUUCAGUGGGGGAUAACGUAGCGAAAGUUACGCUAAUACCGCAUAUUCUGUGAGCAGGAAAGCAGGGGAUCGCAAGACCUUGCGCCGAUUGAGCGGCCGAUAUCAGAUUAGCUAGUUGGUGAGGUAAAGGCUCACCAAGGCGACGAUCUGUAGCGGGUCUGAGAGGAUGAUCCGCCACACUGGAACUGAGACACGGUCCAGACUCCUACGGGAGGCAGCAGUGGGGAAUUUUGGACAAUGGGGGCAACCCUGAUCCAGCGAUGCCGCGUGAGUGAAGAAGGCCUUCGGGUUGUAAAGCUCUUUCGGCCGGGAAGAAAUCGUAUGGGUUAAUACCCUGUGCGGAUGACGGUACCGGGAUAAAAAGCACCGGCUAACUACGUGCCAGCAACCGCGGUAAUACGUAAGGGGCGAGCGUUGAUCGGAAUUACUGGUGGUAAAGCGUGCGCGAGCGCCUGUGUAUUACAGGCGUGAAAUCCCCGGACUCAGCCUGGGAACUGCGCUUGAGACUGCAGUGCUAUACCAUGGGAAACGGGGGUGUGAUUCCACGUGUAGCAGAGCACUGCUGAGAAAUGUGGACGACUGCCACUGGACAGAGCAUCCUGCUGGACCACUASUGACGCUCAUGCGCGAAAGCGCGCUGAGCAAACACGAUUAGAUACCACUGCUASUCCACGCCCUAAACGAUGYCUACUAGGUGUUGGGCGGAUAAAAGCAUUUAGACCGCGUAGCUAACGCGUGAAGUUGACCUGCCUGGUCGAGUACGGUYGACAAGGAUGAAACACA
rnacentral:rRNA from 1 species